CCUACGGGUGGCAGCAGUGAGGAAUAUUGGUCAAUGGACGAGAGUCUGAACCAGCCAAGUAGCGUGAAGGAUGACUGCCCUAUGGGUUGUAAACUUCUUUUAUAUGGGACUAAAAUGUUCCACGUGUGGGAUUUUGUAUGUACCAUAUGAAUAAGGAUCGGCUAACUCCGUGCCAGCAGCCGCGGUAAUACGGAGGAUCCGAGCGUUAUCCGGAUUUAUUGGGUUUAAAGGGAGAGUAGGUGGAUUUGUAAGUCAGUUGUGAAAGUUUGGGGCUCAACCGUAAAAUUGCAGUUGAAACUGGCAGUCUUGAGUACAGUAGAGGUGGGCGGAAUUCGUGGUGUAGCGGUGAAAUGCUUAGAUAUAACGAAGAACGCCGAUGGCGAAGGCAGUUCACUGGACUGAAACUGACACUGAGGCUCGAAAGUGUGGGGAGCAAACAGGAUUAGAUACCCUUGUAGUC
rnacentral:rRNA from 1 species